rnacentral:lncRNA from 1 species
AAUUAGAAAGAGAGAAAUCUUACAGGCAAAGGCUAUUCGACAUUUGGGAUUCCUAAGCUAAUCUUUUUAUUUUUGGAAGGGUGUCUUUCUGAGAAAGGCAGCCAGAGGCACAGCACCAACCUUUCUGACAGUGUGGUCUUCACACUGUUAGUUCUGACAAAGGGAGUCAAGGAGUCGUCCUUGGAGGAGGCGAUGAGGCCAGUGGAAGAAUUGUGGCUGGGGACCCCUCCACUGCUGAGGGAGAUGUCGAUGGACUCACAGCUGGUGUGGAGGCUGCUGACAGACUGAAAGCCCAGGCCAUCCUUGCUAACUGCGGAGGAGCUGCUGGCGUUGGUGCCCCAGGGCCAAGACAGCCCCGGCCUCUUACCAGUUCCUGGGGUCUUCAGUGCGCCUGCCGGGGCUGAAGGCUUCGUCCUUGGCAUGGUGAUGCCCACCUGAGCUGUCAUGCCUCGCCGCCAUGAGCCUGUCUGGGAGAUGACAGGAUUCUUCUUGCCCGACGUGCUUUUGUCGGACUCGUCAGACACAUCAGAAGGAUUCCGCCUCCACUUGGAACCUGGCUCCAUUUUUAUGCCGCUGUCUGAGCCUCCGUCUGAUUUCUUGACAUCAUCACCAGACCACAGGGAAUUCCUCUCCACCUGUGAGUGCUUCUCAGCAUCAGUCUGUGGACAGAGACUCUCUGAAUUAGUCCUUCCCCAGUCCCAGGCUGGGAAGCCCCUCACUCCAAAGGCAAAAAUGCCAAAACACUGGAGUAGUUAAGGGAAAAAUAAGCAUUACUUUAAAGAUGUUUGGACUUU